rnacentral:rRNA from 1 species
CGGACCCUACGGGGCGCAGCAGUGGGGAAUAUUGCACAAUGGGGGGAACCCUGAUGCAGCGACGCCGCGUGGGUGAAGGAGUAUUUCGGUAUGUAAAGCCCUAUCAGCAGGGAAGAACAAUGACGGUACCUGACUAAGAAGCACCGGCUAAAUACGUGCCAGCAGCCGCGGUAAUACGUAGGGGGCAAGCGUUAUCCGGAUUUACUGGGUGUAAAGGGAGCGUAGACGGCUGUGCAAGCCAGAUGUGAAAGCCCGGGGCUCAACCCCGGGACUGCAUUUGGAACUGUGUGGCUGGAGUGUCGGAG